rnacentral:ncRNA from 1 species
UGCGCUUUGCUAGCCUCGGAAGAUACCCGACGAGACGCGCCGUACCGGGUCAGGACAAGACGACGCACC